rnacentral:rRNA from 1 species
AUUGAACGCUGGCGGCAGGCCUAACACAUGCAAGUCGAACGGUAACAGGAAGAAGCUUGCUUCUUUGCUGACGAGUGGCGGACGGGUGAGUAAUGUCUGGGAAACUGCCUGAUGGAGGGGGAUAACUACUGGAAACGGUAGCUAAUACCGCAUAACGUCGCAAGACCAAAGAGGGGGACCUUCGGGCCUCUUGCCAUCGGAUGUGCCCAGAUGGGAUUAGCUAGUUGGUGGGGUAACGGCUCACCAAGGCGACGAUCCCUAGCUGGUCUGAGAGGAUGACCAGCCACACGGGAACUGAGACACGGUCCAGACUCCUACGGGGGGCAGCAGUGGGGAAUAUUGCACAAUGGGCGCAAGCCUGAUGCAGCCAUGCCGCGUGUAUGAAGAAGGCCUUCGGGUUGUAAAGUACUUUCAGCGGGGAGGAAGGGAGUAAAGUUAAUACCUUUGCUCAUUGACGUUACCCGCAGAAGAAGCACCGGCUAACUCCGUGCCAGCCGCCGCAGUAA